CACGUAGGGCGCGAGCGUUGUCCGGAAUUAUUGGGCGUAAAGAGCUCGUAGGCGGCCUGUUGCGUCCGCUGUGAAAGCCCGGGGCUUAACCCCGGGUCGGCAGUGGAUACGGGCAGGCUAGAGGUAGGUAGGGGAGAGUGGAAUUCCCGGUGUAGCGGUGAAAUGCGCAGAUAUCGGGAAGAACACCCGUGGCGAAGGCGACUCUCUGGAACGCAACUGACGCUGAGACGCGAAGGCGUGGGGAGCAAACAGG
rnacentral:rRNA from 1 species